rnacentral:lncRNA from 1 species
ACUGAGCAAGAAAAGACUUAUCGUCGUUAGGAAGGAUUGUACUUAUAUUGUGGAGAACAUAAGGACACUGCUCAACAUUGCUCAAAGAAGUGACAUAACUAUAAAAUAUGGAGUAUGGCGAUCAAAGAAGAUAGCAUGUCAAAAAACGAAUUUGUCUAGCUACAAUAGAGACUAUGCGGCUGAAAUCUUGUACAAUGCCUGGUGAAAGUCCUAUCCUUUCCUUAGAACCUUCUCCAUGUU